GAUGAACGCUAGCGGCAGGCCUAACACAUGCAAGUCAGGGGGUAUAUAGUGCUUGCACUAUAGAGACCGGCGCACGGGGUGCGUAACGCGUAUGCAAUCUACCUUGUACAGGGGAAUAGCCCAGGGAAACUUGGAUUAAUGCCCCAUGGUAUUAUUUUGUAGCAUUACAUUAUAAUUAAAGAUUUUAUCGGUACAAGAUGAGCAUGCGUCCCAUUAGUUAGUUGGUGAGGUAACGGCUUACCAAGACGACGAUGGGUAGGGGCCCUGAGAGGGGGAUCCCCCACACUGGUACUGAGACACGGACCAGACUCCUACGGGAGGCAGCAGUGAGGAAUAUUGGACAAUGGGCGAAAGCCUGAUCCAGCCAUGCCGCGUGCAGGAAGACGGCCCUAUGGGUUGUAAACUGCUUUUGUACGGGAAGAAACACCCCCACGUGUGGGGGCUUGACGGUACCGUAAGAAUAAGCAUCGGCUAACUCCGUG
rnacentral:rRNA from 1 species